UACGGAGGGUGCAAGCGUUAAUCGGAAUUACUGGGCGUAAAGAGUGCGUAGGUGGUUGAAUAAGUUAUGUGUAAAAUCCCUGGGCUUAACCUGGGCAGGUCAUAUAAUACUGUUUAACUCGAGUGUGGGAGAGGGUAGUGGAAUUUCCGGUGUAGCGGUGAAAUGCGUAGAGAUCGGAAGGAACACCAGUGGCGAAGGCGGCUACCUGGCCUAACACUGACACUGAGGCACGAAAGCGUGGGGAGCAAACAGG
rnacentral:rRNA from 1 species